GUGCGUGCUUACACUCAGGAGGAGUUCUAUAUACAUACAUGAUGAAGUGAGGGUAGGCAACGAGUUUAGCCAACAUGAUAUAAUUCUGAGGCUAUUCUUGAACCCCUACACGAACUAGGCAUGGUGGGAAUGACUUAACUAAGUGCAAUGGACGCCAACAUCAUAUCAUUCUGAGGCAUCAUUUUCUAGAGGCCAAAUAAGAUGGGUACUUGCAAGAGGUUGUUGCAAAUGAGUAAGUGUACUCUCUCAUUAUUAUUAACGCUAGCCAACAUGAUAUAUCAUUCUGAGGUGGGCUUGGUAAUAGUGAGCCUCCCAUAACCUACUAAGG
rnacentral:lncRNA from 1 species